rnacentral:rRNA from 1 species
UACGAAGGGUGCAAGCGUUACUCGGAAUUACUGGGCGUAAAGCGUGCGUAGACGGCUAUCUAAGUCGGGUGUGAAAGCCCCGGGCUCAACCUGGGAAUUGCAUUCGAGACUGAAUAGCUAGGGUACGGUAGAGGGAAGUGGAAUUUCCGGUGUAGCGGUGAAAUGCGUAGAUAUCGGAAGGAACAUCAGUGGCGAAAGCGACUUCCUGGACCAGUACCGACGUUCAGGCACGAAAGCGUGGGGAGCAAACAGG